GUAUGAAACUAAACCAAACCGAAUAUUUGAAUAAUAUAUAAUAAUAUAAUUUCCUCAUUCCAAUGAAUAUUUUAUAUUGUUUGAUAUAAUAACUCCACAUAUAGAUGGUUUUGAUAACUAUGUAGAAAAUAGUCUGGCUUCAAAAAUAUCCUGACAAAUUCGAGACUUGUCCUAGGCAGUCUCCAAGAUGGACCUUAAUGAUUCACCUCCUAGUAUUUAUGCCUUUGUAGGCAUAGGGCUGACACAUGCAACCAAUAGAGUGAGGAAUUGGUGUUAUGUGACUUCUGAGGCUAAGGUCAUAAGCGAUAUUGCAGCUUCCUCUUUGCUCCUUCUUGGCUUACUCACUCUGGCAGAAAUCAGCCAUCAUGUUAUGAGAAUACUCAGGAAACCUCUGGAAAGGUCCACGUAGCAAAGAAUGCAGGCCUCCUGCCAAGAUCCUGCUCUCACUUGCCAGCCUUGUGAAUGAGCCGUCCUGGAAGCUUAUUGUCCAACACCUUAGUCAGGCUUGCAGAAGCUGUGACAACAUCCUGAUUGCAACCUCAUGAGAGACCAUGAUCCAGAACCACUCAGCUAAGCUGUUCCCAAAUUCCUGGCCUGCAAAAAGGCGAUGGCUGCGUCAUCGAAUGAAAUCCUUACAGCAUUUAAUUCUGUGUUCUGCAAACCAUGCACACCCAUAAAAGGUUGAUUCACUGAGCUGGAGUGGAAGUGGGGAGCUGCAAUGAAGUAGGAGGGAGAGGAAAGGAACCAAGCAUGUCAAAUGCAGAAAAGUGCAAGUGAUCCGUCCAUACAUUAGAGACCAAAAGAAUCCAGCUGAGGACCUGGAUCCCAUGGCAAUGUCCCACAUGAGUCCAGCCGAAGACUUAGAGCCCAUGGCAGUUGUCUCUUGCAAUGUCUCUGCGUCAAGGAUCUGUGCUGGGAAGGUCCGAAGGUCAGUGGUGGAAGCUAGAAAGUCUUCACCUGGGGGAUGAAAGCGCUGUGCCAGCAGGCUAAGGGAUCUGCACUGGAACCAGGAAGGAACACCUAAGAUGAAGAAGAGGAACAUCCAGAAAUCAAAGUCUGUAUAGGGCAGAAAUUGUCUUGCUCUUUCUUUACAUAUGCUUGGUGGGCCAGAGUUGAAACAGCCAGACCUUUAGGGCUAAGUAAAAGUGACAUUUGAAUAAAGGCCAAAAGGAAGUGAGAGGAUGAACGGUGCAAACAUCUGGGGAAAGCGCAUUUUUGGGAGAAUUGCAAAGACCAUGGUUGUGAGUAUAACCGUAUUCUCCUAAAAGGUAGUUUGAAGUCUUGCUAAUCCCUAGCACCUGUGAAAUGCAACUUUAUUUCUAAGCAGCAUCUCUGCAGAUGUAAUCAAGUUAGGAUGAGGUCACUAGAGUGGGCUCCAACCCACCAUGAUUGGUGUUUUUAUAAGAGGAAACAGAGCAGAGACGCACAGGAGAAUGCCAUGUGAUGAUGGAGGAGAGAUUGGAAUGAUACAGCCGCAAGCCCAGGAAUGCCAAGAAUUGACAGCCACCACCAGCAGCUAGGAAGAGGAUCCAGGACCAAGAACUGUGAAGUCACCAACCAUGGAAUUCAGGGCCCUGGACUGCACAUAAUAGCAGUUGAUUCUCGCUACUUCAAUCAAAAUAGGGAUUUAUUAGAGGAAUAUCAGGGAGAUCUCAGAAAUGAUAGGAAAGCAAGAGAGUCAAGCUUGGAAAAGGUACAGGAACCAAAAGAGAGUCACAGGUACCUCAAGUCCAGUGUUUUCCAUCAAAUUGCCAGUCCUUGUUUCAGUGAUAAUGGGAAUGAAAACUAAAGCAUGAACUUGCAGGAAAAGGCUUUAAUUGAUGGAAAAGAAAAGGCCAAAAGGUGUAGCUGAGAGGGAACAAAAUUUAAAACAUCUGAAGUUUAAAAUAUUUGAAAUUGCUACUACGUGGUUGCAGGACUGGCCAAGUCUUUCAACUUAGAUAUGAAUUUGAAGGAUUGCUCUAUAUGACUUCCAAGACAACAUCAAACUCAGACUAAGUGCCACAUGAGCGUGGAAAUGGAACAAACACAGGACUUCAUGACUUCCAGACAAGCUACAUAGAUGUCAGCCUAUGACAUCAAAAGAAGUGGCAGCCAGGCAUGGUGGCACACUCCUGUGAUCUCAGCACUCAGGAGGCUGAGGCAGGAAGAUCCUGUGAGUUUGAGGCCAGCCUAAACUGUAUAACAAAACCUUUUCUCAAAAAGCCAAAAUGGGGAGCAAUUCAAUCUCCAAGUCCCCUAGUGUGCAUUAAUAGAGUGAAUGGGACUAUUUAUGUAAAGGUCUAAUGAGAAUCAUAAUAAACUUUUUUCCUUAGAAUUUGAUUUACAA